rnacentral:rRNA from 1 species
UUAAAGGAAUUGACGGAAGGGCACUACCAGGAAUGGAGCCUGCGGCUUAAUUUGACUCAACACGGGAAAGCUUACCUGGAUAGGACACAGGAAGGAUUGACAGAUUAAGAGCUCUUUCUUGAUUCUGUGGAAGGUGGUGCAUGGCCAUUCUUAGUUGGUGGAGCGAUUUGUCUGGUUAAUUCCGAUAACGAUCGAGACUCUAGCCUACUAAAUAGACGUUCCGAUCCUUGCUGUCGGACGCUCUUCUUAGAGGGACACGCGGCGUCUAGCCGCACGAGACAGAGCAAUAGUAGGUCUGUGAUGCCCUUAGAUGUCCAGGGCCGCACGCGCGCUACAAUGAAGGAAUCAGCGUGUGCUUUCCCUGUCCGACAGGACUGGGUAACCCGUUGAACCUCCUUCGUGCUUGGGAUAGGCGUUUGUAAUUAUCCGCCUUGAACGAGGAAUUCCCAGUAAGCACGAGUCAUCAGCUCGUGUUGAUUACGUCCCUGCCCUUUGUGCACACCGCCCGUCGCAACAUCCGAUGGAAUGAUUUAGUGAGGUCUUCGGACUGGCGCUCGGAUUGACCUCCGGGUCGAGCCGGCGUGCCGGAAAGACGAUCGAACUUGGUCAUUUAGAGGAAGUUAAAGUCGUAACAAGGUUUC